AACGCACCUUGCGCUCCUUGGUAUUCCGAGGAGCAUGCCUGUUUGAGUGUCUUGAAGUCAUCAACCCCUUCCGUUUCGUGCGGAGGGCGGUUGGAUGUGGGGGCCCUGCUGCCGUGAGGCGGCUCCCCUCAAAUGCAUCGGUUGGGCCUGUGGGUCGAACUCGACUGGGCGUUGUACCAUCCUCGCUCGACAGAGAUGUUCCCCUCCUGCGCCCUCCCUCGACCUGCUGUCAGAGCGGCGGUCAAGCAAACAAACUUUGAAAUCUGACCUCAAAUCAGGUAGGACUACCCGCUGAACUUAA
rnacentral:misc_RNA from 1 species